CACAUGCUCUGACUCCCAAUUUUGGGCACACAGAAAGGAGUGCAUAUCACCUCAGGAUCUUAUUCAGGCCUUCCUACAUUGCCACAGGCUUCUCUGACCCUGCCACUUGCUAUAAACCAUGGUUCUUGAUGCUGGGAGCAUUUAGCAUUCUUCUAAACUCUGGGAAUACAGUAGUAUAUAAUGCACAUGCCCUGUCUUCAGGGAUUUUGCAGUUCGGGAAGACAGGAUUGCUCUCUUCCCCAUGGUGAGCAGAAGGUGGGCAGCAAGUCACGGGUCUCCAGGGAAGCCAGCGGAGCUGCCAACAGGAGGUGUUGUCAGAGUCU